UGGGGAAUAUUGGACAAUGGGCGAAAGCCUGAUCCAGCCAUGCCGCGUGUGUGAAGAAGGUCUUCGGAUUGUAAAGCACUUUAAGUUGGGAGGAAGGGCAGUAAGCGAAUACCUUGCUGUUUUGACGUUACCGACAGAAUAAGCACCGGCUAACUCUGUGCCAGCAGCCGCGGUAAUACAGAGGGUGCAAGCGUUAAUCGGAAUUACUGGGCGUAAAGCGCGCGUAGGUGGUUCGUUAAGUUGAAUGUGAAAGCCCCGGGCUCAACCUGGGAACUGCAUCCAAAACUGGCGAGCUAGAGUAGGGCAGAGGGUGGUGGAAUUUCCUGUGUAGCGGUGAAAUGCGUAGAUAUAGGAAGGAACACCAGUCGCGAAGGCGACCACCUGGGCUCAUACUGACACUGAGGUGCGAAAGCGUGGGGAGCAAACAGG
rnacentral:rRNA from 1 species